rnacentral:rRNA from 1 species
UACGUAGGGUGCGAGCGUUGUCCGGAAUUAUUGGGCGUAAAGAGCUUGUAGGCGGUUUGUCGCGUCUGCUGUGAAAUCUCAAGGCUCAACCUUGAGCUUGCAGUGGGUACGGGCAGACUAGAGUGUGGUAGGGGAGACUGGAAUUCCUGGUGUAGCGGUGAAAUGCGUAGAUAUCAGGAGGAACACCGGUGGUGUAAACGGCUUUCUGGACCAUAACUGACGCUGAGGCACGAAAGCGUGGGUAGCAAACAGG